ensembl:snRNA RNU6ATAC28P RNA, U6atac small nuclear 28, pseudogene
GUGUCUUAAAAUUUCACAGCACUCCCCUUGACAAGGAUGGAAGAGGCCCUUGGGCCUGACAACAUGCAUACGGUAAAGGCAUUGCCACCUACUUCGUGGCAUCUAACCAUCGUUUUAG